AAUCCAUAGGUUAAUGAGGCGAACCGGGGGAACUGAAACAUCUAAGUACCCCGAGGAAAAGAAAUCAACCGAGAUUCCCCCAGUAGCGGCGAGCGAACGGGGAGGAGCCCAGAGCCUGAAUCAGCAUGUGUGUUAGUGGAAGCGUCUGGAAAGGCGCGCGAUACAGGGUGACAGCCCCGUACACAAAAGCGCAUGUGCUGUGAGCUCGAUGAGUAGGGCGGGACACGUGGUAUCCUGUCUGAAUAUGGGGGGACCAUCCUCCAAGGCUAAAUACUCCUGACUGACCGAUAGUGAACCAGUACCGUGAGGGAAAGGCGAAAAGAACCCCGGCGAGGGGAGUGAAAAAGAACCUGAAACCGUGUACGUACAAGCAGUGGGAGCACCCUUUGGGGUGUGACUGCGUACCUUUUGUAUAAUGGGUCAGCGACUUAUAUUCUGUAGCAAGGUUAACCGUAUAGGGGAGCCGCAGGGAAACCGAGUCUUAAUUGGGCGUUAAGUUGCAGGGUAUAGACCCGAAACCCGGUGAUCUAGCCAUGGGCAGGUUGAAGGUUGGGUAACACUAACUGGAGGACCGAACCGACUAAUGUUGAAAAAUUAGCGGAUGACCUGUGGCUGGGGGUGAAAGGCCAAUCAAACCGGGAGAUAGCUGGUUCUCCCCGAAAGCUAUUUAGGUAGCGCCUCGUGAAUUCAUCUCCGGGGGUAGAGCACUGUUUCGGCUAGGGGGCCAUCCCGGCUUACCAACCCGAUGCAAACUGCGAAUACCGGAGAAUGUUAUCACGGGAGACACACGGCGGGUGCUAACGUCCGUCGUGAAGAGGGAAACAACCCAGACCGCCAGCUAAGGUCCCAAAGUCAUGGUUAAGUGGGAAACGAUGUGGGAAGGCCCAGACAGCCAGGAUGUUGGCUUAGAAGCAGCCAUCAUUUAAAGAAAGCGUAAUAGCUCACUGGUCGAGUCGGCCUGCGCGGAAGAUGUAACGGGGCUAAACCAU
rnacentral:rRNA from 1 species